AAGCAUCACAGUGGCUACACUGGUAGAUUUAUGGUGAUAAUUCGGGAACAUCACGGUAUUCACACAAUUAGGUUGGGGGGAUAUUUUGAGCCAAACUAGUUCCUAGGCCUAGGGGAAAGCACAUGAUUUGUCUGGCUUACAUAUCAAUAUGCUUGUACUGAUAUUGACAAAGACUUGGAAUCACCUUAAGGGUAGGAGCCUAAGUCAUAUUGUAUGUUGUCACUUCUCAAACGUUAAUACAAUGUCUUAUAGAAUGUCUUGUAACAGUAUUUAUAGACUAUCAUUGGCCCACUGACAUUUCCCGAAAUAUCCGAUACUACAAUUCAUAGGCCUUGUCCUGAAAAUCCGAAUUUCAUAUUGAUUCUGUACGAAACCGGUUAGGCCUAUUACUCCUUUGAGAUACUGUGGUAUUUAAGGUUCAUUUUCUCAGACAUAAUUCUCCCUUCCACGUACUUUAGGU